GGGCGUUUAGUAUUUGGUCGUAGACCCGAAACCAGGUGAUCUACCCUUGGUCAGGUUGAAGUUCAGGUAACACUGAAUGGAGGACCGAACCGACUUACGUUGAAAAGUGAGCGGAUGAACUGAGGGUAGCGGAGAAAUUCCAAUCGAACCUGGAGAUAGCUGGUUCUCUCCGAAAUAGCUUUAGGGCUAGCCUCAAGUGAUGAUUAUUGGAGGUAGAGCACUGUUUGGACGAGGGGCCCCUCUCGGGUUACCGAAUUCAGACAAACUCCGAAUGCCAAUUAAUUUAACUUGGGAGUCAGAACAUGGGUGAUAAGGUCCGUGUUCGAAAGGGAAACAGCCCAGACCACCAGCUAAGGUCCCAAAAUAUAUGUUAAGUGGAAAAGGAUGUGGCGUUGCCCAGACAACUAGGAUGUUGGCUUAGAAGCAGCCAUCAUUUAAAGAGUGCGUAAUAGCUCACUAGUCGAGUGACACUGCGCCGAAAAUGUACCGGGGCUAAACAUAUUACCGAAGCUGUGGAUUGUCCUUUGGACAAUGGUAGGAGAGCGUUCUAAGGGCGUUGAAGCAUGAUCGUAAGGACAUGUGGAGCGCUUAGAAGUGAGAAUGCCGGUGUGAGUAGCGAAAGACGGGUGAGAAUCCCGUCCACCGAUUGACUAAGGUUUCCAGAGGAAGGCUCGUCCGCUCUGGGUUAGUCGGGUCCUAAGCUGAGGCCGACAGGCGUAGGCGAUGGAUAACAGGUUGAUAUUCCUGUACCACCUAUAAUCGUUUUAAUCGAUGGGGGGACGCAGUAGGAUAGGCGAAGCGUGCGAUUGGAUUGCACGUCUAAGCAGUAAGGCUGAGUAUUAGGCAAAUCCGGUACUCGUUAAGGCUGAGC
rnacentral:rRNA from 1 species